rnacentral:sRNA from 1 species
GAUUUGCGUGAGGGAUAGCAGUGAAAAUCCUUUACGGAACGGAGUGGAGUAAAGAUUGUAACGAAUAGCCCGACCCGAA